rnacentral:rRNA from 1 species
AACGAACGCUGGCGGCAGGCUUAACACAUGCAAGUCGAACGCCCCGCAAGGGGAGUGGCAGACGGGUGGGUAACGCGUGGGAACGUGCCCUUCGCUUCGGAAUAGUCCCGGGAAACUGGGUUUAAUACCGAAUACGCCGUAUUGGGAAAGAUUUAUCGGCGAAGGAUCGGCCCGCGUUAGAUUAGGUAGUUGGCGGUGUAAUGGACCACCAAGCCUACGAUCUAUAGCUGGUCUGAGAGGAUGAUCAGCCACACUGGGACUGAGACACGGCCCAGACUCCUACGGGAGGCAGCAGUGGGGAAUCUUGGACAAUGGGCGCAAGCCUGAUCCAGCCAUGCCGCGUGAGUGAAGAAGGCCUUAGGGUUGUAAAACUCUUUCGCCGGAGAAGAUAAUGACGGUAUCCGGAGAAGAAGCCCCGGCUAACUUCGUGCCAGCCGCCGCCGUAACAC